CAGUAGCGUAUAUUAAAGUUGUUGCAGUUAAAAAGCUCGUAGUUGGAUUUGUGGCGUACGGUGUGUUCCGGGCACUUGUUGUCUGAGUAACCUGCUGUUGCCAUCCUUGGGUGGAACCUGUGUGGCAUUAGGUUGUCGUGCAGGGGAUGCCCAUCAUUUACUGUGAAAAAAUUAGAGUGUUCAAAGCAGGCUUAUGCCGUUGAAUAUAUUAGCAUGGAAUAAUGAGAUAGGACUUUUUUGCUAUUUUGUUGGUUUGCGCAAGAAGGUAAUGAUUAAUAGGGACAGUUGGGGGUAUUCGUAUUCCAUUGUCAGAGGUGAAAUUCUUGGACUUUUGGAAGACGAACUACUGCGAAAGCAUUUACCAAGGAUGUUUUCAUUAA
rnacentral:rRNA from 1 species